UUCUCAAGCAACUAGAGCAUCCAAGAAACUCCUUACCUCUCCAUUUCCCACGGGUACACAAAUCAGAAUUCUCACCCACUUUACACUCUUUUUUCUUAAGGAAAGAGCUAGGAAGCUCUCUUAAGUCCCCUUUGUCAAACCCAAGGGUCCACACAUUAAAAGAACGACAAGCCUCAUCUCAUUUCUUCUUCACACUCUCUCAAAGAAGCUGAAAACUCAAGAAGCUCUCUCCUUCUUUCAUACCCACGGUCCAACAUCAAAAGAAAGAAAAGACUCUCUUAAGCUCUCUACCUCUCAUACUUUUGGAUCCAGCCACUAGGAAGGGGAAAUCCUUUCAUGCAAGAAUGAUUUAUUUCUAUUUCCUCUCAAGAACCAUAAAUUUGGUGUUACCAGUUCCCUAGGUCUAAACUCCUUCGACUGUAGGCUCUCGGUUCCUCUGCUUUCAGGUAAGGGAUAAGUUAUAUGAGCAUUUGUUAACAGGUUUUAUUUUGGAACAAAGGGAGCCUUAGUCGAGUUUGGAAGGAGCUGGUUUUAGUUUUAUAUGUAUAGAUCCUAAAUUAGCAAUUUGAUGUUUAGAUUUGUAGUAUGGUGUAUUUUAGGAUAUAAUAAGAGUGUGUACCUUAAAGUAUUAAGAGAUGUAUUAUGUGAAAUUUAGAAUUUGAAUAAUCGAUGGAUUGUGUUA